rnacentral:tRNA from 1 species
GGGGGUGUAGCUUUGUUGGUAAAGCACUUGCCUGGUGUACAGGGGCCCCUGGUUCAAUCCCAAGCACCCCA